rnacentral:tRNA from 1 species
UUUUGAACUGUGACACGAGGAUUUUCAGUCCUCUGCUCUACCCGCUGAG